rnacentral:rRNA from 1 species
UACGUAGGGUGCAAGCGUUGUCCGGAAUUAUUGGGCGUAAAGAGCUCGUAGGCGGUUUGUCGCGUCUGCUGUGAAAACUCGGGGCUUAACCCCGGGCCUGCAGUGGGUACGGGCAGACUAGAGUGCGGUAGGGGAGACUGGAAUUCCUGGUGUAGCGGUGAAAUGCGCAGAUAUCAGGAGGAACACCGGUGGCGAAGGCGGGUCUCUGGGCUGUAACUGACGCUGAGGAGCGAAAGCGUGGGUAGCGAACAGG